rnacentral:rRNA from 1 species
CGAACGGGUGAGUAAUGCGUGACCAACCUGCCCCAUGCUCCAGAAUAGCUCUUGGAAACGGGUGGUAAUGCUGGAUGCUCCAACUUGACGCAUGUCUUGUUGGGAAAGUGUUUAGUGGCAUGGGAUGGGGUCGCGUCCUAUCAGCUUGUAGGCGGGGUAAUGGCCCACCUAGGCUUCGACGGGUAGCCGGCCUUAGAGGGCGGACGGCCACAUUGGGACUGAGAUACGGCCCAGACUCCUACGGGAGGCAGCAGCG